GGGCAGUGGGACCGAGCGUGGUUUUGCCGGCAGGGAGAGGAGAACACGCGCGCGCACCCACGCGGCGGUGGCUUGCGGGUGAUGAAUGUGAUAAUUGGACCGGGGCCGACCUUUCCUACAGAAGCUGCCCAUCAGACCAAUGAAACCACGGGACACAAAGUUCUAUUCAAGAAGAGAACAACAAGAAAGAAAAAAAGGUCAACAAUCCUAGGACAGAAGAGCUCCUUGGCACUGGAACCCUCCUGGUCUGGGGAGGGAGGGAUGAGGGAUGCUCUGAGGACACACAGCCAUCAUCCCAAACUUCCUACAUUCGGAUGGAGGAAAGAGGUUGCACCAGAGCUUCGGAUCCAUGUUGCCUAAGGGAUGAUUCAGACUGUGUGAACGAGUCACAGAAGGGUCUCAUGGGAACAGAAAGUUUUGAGAGAGUUUACUAUUUGUGCAAGAUGACUGGUUGGGUAAAGAAGUCCAAAGUUUAUUAUCUGCAGAACAAAUAAAGCCCGGGCAAAGGUAACUGAAAUGAAUGUCUCCCACCUUGUCCCUUCAGC